CAUGUUCGCUUGAGCAUACAGCUUCCGACGCUGCCUGUAGAUAUCUUUGUCAUCAUAUGACCCAAAUAUGUAAUCUCACUGCACAGCCCAAGUGCAGUGCCAGACAGACAGAAGUCAGGGAAGGUUGACUGUCUGUCUUCUCUACUUCAGAUAAUCAGGAUCUUACUCUUUUUAGCAUUGUGUUUUAUAUCCAAAUCAGCACCAUACUGGGUGCAUUUUCUCAGAA